AGCGAACGCUGGCGGCAGGCUUAACACAUGCAAGUCGAACGCAUCACUUCGGUGGUGAGUGGCAGACGGGUGAGUAACACGUGGGAACGUACCCUUCGAUCUGGGAUAACUUCGGGAAACUGGAGCUAAUACCGGAUACGCCCUUUUGGGGAAAGGUUUACUGUCGAAGGAUCGGCCCGCGUCUGAUUAGCUAGUUGGUGGGGUAACGGCCUACCAAGGCGACGAUCAGUAGCUGGUCUGAGAGGAUGAUCAGCCACACUGGGACUGAGACACGGCCCAGACUCCUACGGGAGGCAGCAGUGGGGAAUAUUGGACAAUGGGCGCAGGCCUGAUCCAGCCAUGCCGCGUGAGUGAUGAAGGCCUUAGGGUUGUAAAGCUCUUUUGUCCGGGACGAUAAUGACGGUACCGGAAGAAUAAGCCCCGGCUAACUUCGUG
rnacentral:rRNA from 1 species